rnacentral:lncRNA from 1 species
GACAAAUAUAUAUAAACAAUCAAAAGAAUGACUUAAAUAUCAAACUGUAAUUUAUAACAUAAAAAUUUGUCUAUAAACCCAUCAAGCGCAAGACUCGAAAAAUAUCAUUUUCAUAAACACCAUCUAUUUUAAUUGAAAUACCCGACCAUGUAAUAACUAAAGGUGUGACAUAUCACAUAUCACAAAAUUGAUUUAUGUAAAAACACGACACAUACCACAUUUCCUGUAAAAGAAAAAACAGCAAAAACUUCCUUUCAGAACUGUCUCGAAUAUCUGGAAUAAAAGUGGGGAAUGGUAAAAAAAAAGAUUUAUGUAUUGAUAGUUAAGUUCUAUCUUUACAUAUUAAAUAAAGGCAACAGUAGUAUACCGCUGUUCAAAACUCAUAAAUCCAUGGACAAAAAACAAAAUCGGGGUAACAAACUAAAACCGAGGGAAACACAUUAAAUAUAAGAGGAGAACAACGACACAACACCGAAACGCAACACACACAGAAACGGAC